UUUGUACUCCCUCCAUCCAGAAAUACUUGUCGGAGAAAUGGAUGUAUCUAGAACUAUUUUAGUUUUAGAUACAUCCAUUUUUAUCAAUUCUAGGACAAGUAUUUUCGGACGGAGGGAGUAUUUC
rfam:Triticum aestivum genome assembly, contig: Triticum_aestivum_CS42_TGACv1_scaffold_570494_7AS